UACGUAGGGUGCGAGCGUUAAUCGGAAUUAUUGGGCGUAAAGAGCUCGUAGGCGGUCUGUUGCGUCGGCUGUGAAAACCCGGGGCUCAACUCCGGGCCUGCAGCCGAUACGGGCAGACUAGAGUUCGGCAGGGGAGACUGGAAUUCCUGGUGUAGCGGUGAAAUGCGCAGAUAUCAGGAGGAACACCGGUGGCGAAGGCGGGUCUCUGGGCCGAUACUGACGCUGAGGAGCGAAAGCGUGGGGAGCGAACAGG
rnacentral:rRNA from 1 species